AAAGCGUGCGCAGGCGGUUAUAUAAGACAGAUGUGAAAUCCCCGGGCUCAACCUGGGAACUGCAUUUGUGACUGUAUAGCUGGAGUGCGGCAGAGGGGGAUGGAAUUCCGCGUGUAGCAGUGAAAUGCGUAGAUAUGCGGAGGAACACCGAUGGCGAAGGCAAUCCCCUGGGCCUGCACUGACGCUCAUGCACGAAAGCGUGGGGAGCAAACAGGAUUAGAUACCCGUGU
rnacentral:rRNA from 1 species